GUGAAGUGUGAAGGCCCCUCACGUCCUCCGUCUUUCCUCAGACUAUGUCCUGGAACCUGGGCAGAGAAAGCACGGUCCACAUUUCCUGCUUCUCAGGAUGGUUGAUGGACAGGCAGCAAUGGAGAAUGACAUGCAGGAGGAACGAUUGGUAAAGAUGGUGGGCUGCCCAGUCAUGUUGUCCUGAUCAGUCCCACUGGGCACUUUGGAGGCCAACACUCUGGAUGGCAGCUCCAUAGGACAAUCCUUGCCAACCCAGGGGCUUCCAGCAUGUCACUCUGUGUGAGUGGCCUCUCCAGGACCGCUAGCUAACUUUUAUAAAGUCUUCCUCUGUCUCCUGAUCUGCAGACUUGCCCCACCCACAGGCUGAACAAUUGUCCUGCCCUAUGGCCUUUUGCAACAAGCAAGCCAGCCAGCCAGGGCUAGCUGAGAAGCGGUUGACUGUUGUUCUCACACUGGGUAACAUGAUUUUUUUUUUUUUUUGCUUUCUGCCUCAAAACAAUACUGUAUACUGUGUCUUUUAACCAACAGUUAUUUCAUUGAUCUGCCAUUUUGGCCUCUUUUUCAUAUCUUAUCACACACUGUACAUGUUAACUUUAUUACUUUCUGGAUUGGUUUUACAUACAAAUUAACAAAUUCCCUCAUCUUUUUUUCUGGGAUUGCCCUGUUGUUGAUUCAUUAACAUUGACUUCAUGGCCAACAGUACUAACACUUGUGCCUGAAUGAAGCUUAUCUAAUGAGAGUAUUUUCUCUACAAGGUGCAUUAUCAUCUUGUGUUUGAGAACACCAGACAGCACUUUAGCAUAUAAUGAGGAGUGUGGGCAUUUUAACAUCAAAAUUACCUAUAAAAAGCACACAAAAAUGCAAACCUUCCCCCCCCAAAAAAUUUCCAUAUCAGUGACCACAAUUCCAAAAUGACACCUGUUAAUCUUAUGAAAGCUGAGACAAGAUGAUAGUGUUCCUUUGGUUGACCUCAUUGAGAAACUUGUCUAUUGGGCAACUUGAAUUUUUCUUUACCUGGAGUAAUGAUUUGAAGUUACAAGUAAAUUUUAGGGAGUGGGUAAACUUGCAAAUAUGGAACCCAUGAAUAACAAGAGUCACUUGUAUCCUCUUCCCUUGGGACAACCACGAGAUUUUCACGAACAGUAGUGGGACCUACGGCACCUCCUGGCUGACCUCCCUGAGUUAGUCUUUGCCCACUUCUGAUCAUCACACAGAAGCCAGAAUGAUCCUGUUGCAAAGCAAUUCAAAUUCUGUUGCUUACCUGCUGAGACUUUCUGAAAGCUGCUCACAUUGCUCAAAUAAAGAUGAUGUACUUAGGAGCGUUUGAGUGUGCCUCUGCCCCUUCCCCUACCACUGACCACUAGCAUCUAACUUUACUCUGCUGGAGCCCUAGCACAGCCACUGUGCUGCACUGACUAAGUGUAUUCCUUGGGGCCUGGAAUGUUCUCCUCCAGGGUUCCCACUGCUUUUUUUCCUCACUUCCUUCAUCCCCUGCUCAAAUAUCUUAAGUAUGUCCUUCCUUUCCAAAUUACUUAAAAUUGACUUCAUUUUGUAUUCUAUUCUCUCUCAUAUUGCCUUUUGACACUUGCAUUUUUAAAAAUUCUUUCUCGUGCUUGUUCAUUUUAAACACUUGUUGCUGCCAGCUCCUUUGUGAAGGUGCCCAGCACAAAUAAGCGAAUCAUUGACUACUGGAGGAAGAGAUACGGGCUCAGGUCACCAAAGUUCAUUCUAUAGAACAAAGUUUGAGUUAAAGUAAAUAGAUACAAUGUAGAAAUUGUAAGUAAGAUUUUCAUUUGUUCCCUUAUUAAAUAGUGGAGCAAUAGUAAUUACUGGAGUUAGGUAUAUUCACUUGGAGAAGGGAUGACUGAGUCCAGUUUUGAAGAUAGGAAGGUUUGUGCUCUGGUAGAAAGUAGAAAUUGUUACAUAUGUCAAAGAGAGGUGAAAUUUGCAAUGGCAGUAGUUUCAGAGCUGGAGGAGUGUGCAGUACCACACUUGUUUGACUUUUAGAGCUUACCAAGACUGAAUGAAUCCAUAUUGUCAUCAUUACUCUCUUCUAGCAAGGAAUCUAGUAGUCCAUAGGAAGUGCCCUACCCUAAAUAAAAUGCUGCACAUAAAUCACUAAGAUAGUACUUGGUAUAUAGUAAGUGCUCAAUAAACAGUUAUUAUUAAUAAUAAGAUUGGAAAGGAAGCUCAGAUCCUCAAUUUUCUCUGUCAUCACUGCAGUUGUGCAGCAUCCUAAACAUCUCCUUUAGAGUUUUUGGAGUAUCAGAUCAUUCAACAAAUGUUCAUAGCCCAUCUACUGUAUGCCAAAUGAUCCUAUAGACACAGCAGGGAGCAAGAAUGUCCCUUUUCUUAAGAAACUCCUAGUUUCAUGGAUGGUGUCGUACCAUGUGAGGAAUUUGGGGGCAGGAACUAAAUACACUGCUCAGCCAGGCUGAUUAGUUUCCUUUCUUUUGUCUCAACCAUGAGGAUGACCUUUAUAAAGAGACUAAGACCAAACUGAAGCCUUCCUUCUCCAACCUUUGGAUCCCAGACUGGUUGUUUGCUCCACGGAAUUUCUGGCUGAAAAACUCCUGCAUGCGUCUACUGUACAGGCAUCACAGUCUGAAUUAAAUUCUAUCCUUUU
rnacentral:lncRNA from 1 species